rnacentral:rRNA from 1 species
AUGGAGUCCUGCACAAAGACUAAAGAAGGGAGGCACUAUGUGAAUAUGCAGUGGGCAUUGUUCUUCUAUGGGUGUGGCAUUCCAUUCAAUGCUGCAAGCAGUAGACAGUUUGAGGUUGCAAUUGAAACCUCCUGUCAAUACGGUUCAGGUUACAGGCUUCCUAGUGGCUAUGAGCUGAGAGAGCCAUUGUUUAAUGAUUGUGUCAAGGAAACGAGUACUACUUUAAGGAAGCAGCACGAGGCAGCAUGGAAACAAUAUGGAUGCGCCCUCAUGUCAGAUGGCUGGUCAGAUAGAAGGGGCCGCCCUUUGAUUAACUUCCUUGUUAACAGUCCGGAGGGCACUUUCUUCUUGGGAGUCGAUUGA